AGCCUAAACCAGUAAGCAAUUGCUGGCAUGGUGAAGAAGUCUGAUCAGAGCUAAAAAACCCAUCAUAUGGGGUUGCUCUGAUCAGCCACGUCGGGAAACCGGCGCGGAGGGCGCAAGUCCUC
rnacentral:sRNA from 1 species